AAUUUCACACUUGCAAGAUUGUUUUUUUUUUUUUCAACCAAACUAAUUGCUUACGAUUAAUUUUUAUCUGCUAAUGACGCAGGCAUAUUUUGCGGGUAUGAAUAUUUAACAUUUCUUUUCGAUGCUAUCUUUUAUAUCGAAUCAUCACGGGUAAACUAAUCGCAACUCCGCCCAUAGUGCGGUACGUUUCUGCGAAGACAAAUACACACACAUACACUCACAGACAUAUGCAUAAACGGGGCACCCUCUCUCUAUCAGUUAUCAAGGAACUUCAAGAGAUGAGAUGACCCCUAUAAACUUGAUCCGGUCAGCCCGUUUUGACUUAUACACCCAAUGGCUACGGUUCGUCCCUGGUGUAUGUCAAUGCCGUCAGUACACUCGCUGGAGGGAUAGUUAUUGAUGCUCCACGGAGUCGUACGGCGGUUUGAUUCACGUAGCCGCUGUGCCAAAGUCUACCAAACUGUACAACUAAGAUCAAUGUUUGGAGGCUCGUCCAGUACCAGACAUGCACAUAUGCUGCACACCCCAGAUAGUGCAGAGAAGACUCCUUUCCUUCCACUAUUGCAAGCAACAUCUGAAUGCUCUAUCUUUUAUUACUGACAACUGUGGACAACUUUGAAAUAAAAUGGAGAGUGCAGUUAGGAUUUAAUAUUCUUUACUUGAUGCAUAAUCGACACAAUAGAAGCCGAUCAGCUUAAGUUCGACUGAACUGUUAUUGACUAAAGAGAUAUAAAUGCAAAUUGAAAAUA